GGUUUCUGCCGCUGGAACUUGCUUGGGUUGCUUUUCUAUUGGAUUAUCAUUCUUGUUACAGGACUUUAAGCUUUGGGAUUUCAGUCCCUUUCUAGCACUUGGUGGCGUCUUGAUAUUCAAGGGAUCAUUUGCCUUAGGCAUGGGAGCU